AGGUCAUUGUCCCCCAACAGUCUCCAGGGAUAAUCUGAUUGGUUUGAGUCGAGCCCGUCGGCCUCAUAAUGCCAUCUUCCUCACUUUUAACGACCAGAACAUCCCCACUGAGCCCCUGGAGGCUGCCAAGGUCAACUGGAAGAGAGUGUGUGUUCAACCCAGUGACAUAAAGGCAGAGGAACAACUGAAGGAGAUGUUUGAGAGCCGGCCCAUCUGGUCCGGGUACGCAGUCAAGGCCAACCUGGACCUCCACCCUGAUAAACUGAAGCUGCUGCUCCCUAUCAUGGCCUACUAUAUGGUGAGGAGACCUAGACCAGCCAAUGGAAAAAGCGAUAGAAAACACACCUCCACAAAUACUAUUGUAAAGUGGCUGUUCCACUGGAUGUCUUAAGGUGAACGCACCAAUUUGUAAGUCGCUCUGGAUAAGAGCGUCUGCUAAAUGACUUAAAUGUAAUGUAAAUGUAGUGUAUGUCUGCUAUCUAACUGUCACCAUGGAUACUACAGCCCAAGCUCAAGGUCACGCACCUGUAUACCAUUCAUCAGGAUGCCAAUUGUUUGGCUGUCUGCAUAUUCUCUGACACCUAACUAAUCUAUAUGGUGAGCAGACCCAGACCAGCAGGGGGUCAAUAAAAGGAAAUAGGGCAUCUCUCUAUUUACAUGCCAUGUCCUAUUCAAUUCACUUGACUUGAAAUGAACCUCUUGAGAAAAGUAGAAGUGGAUGCUGGCAAGAGAGAAAGAAGACGCAAACAUGAAAAUCUAUUUGAUCAAUACACUCCUUGACCAAACGUAUGUGGACACCUGCUUGUCGAACAUCUUAUUCCAAAAUCAUUAGAAUUUAUAUGGAGUUGGUCCCCUCCUGUGCUGCUGUAACAGCCUCCACUCAUCUGGGAAGGCUUUCCACUAGAUGUUGGAACAUUGCUGUGGGGACUUGCUUCCAUUCAGCCACAAUAGCAUUAGUGAGGUUGGGCACUGAUGUUUGGGUCGACAUCAAGAUUGAGUCAACGGAACAACCCAUUGUUCUUAUUUGCCAUUCAAAAUACAUCGAAAACCUCCCCUGGAGGAGCCUCUAGGUGAGAUAUAACUAUGACACCAGAGGCCAAGAAAUACCAGGUGCUGGACUUCAGGAUCCGCUGCAGUACCAAGCACGGUGAGGAGUGGGGGCAGGGUGGAGGUUUGGUUCAAUCUAAUCUGGAGGGACAAUUUAAUUCCACAGCCUUUGCUAAUCAUGCGUUGUUUUAUGAGACUGUGUUUCACCCCCCUGUGACUGUCUUUAGGAUAUACUAUCAAUGACAUGCCAGUGAAGGCCAAGAGGAGCACUUUCAACUAUACCCUGCCAAUCACACUUAACAAAGCAGUGCCCCAGGCUGCUAAUGUGACAGAUUUACCUCCUGAGGGCCCUGCUGGUGGACGUAGUGCAAAUAUAACCAGAUACCAG